CAGGCCUAACACAUGCAAGUCGAACGAGAAAGUCCGCAAGGAUGAGUAAAGUGGCGUACGGGUGAGUAACACGUAGCUAACCUACCCUCGAGUGGGGAAUAACCUGGGGAAACUCGGGCUAAUACCGCAUAACAUCCGCAAGGAUCAAAAGUCCGCAAGGAUUGCUUGAGGAGGGGGCUGCGGCCGAUUAGCUAGUUGGUGAGGUAAUGGCCCACCAAGGCAAUGAUCGGUAGCCGGCCUGAGAGGGCGCACGGCCACACUGGAACUGAAACACGGUCCAGACUCCUACGGGAGGCAGCAGUGGGGAAUUUUGCGCAAUGGGGGAAACCCUGACGCAGCAACGCCGCGUGGAGGAUGAAGCCCCUUGGGGUGUAAACUCCUUUCGAUCGGGACGAUUAUGACGGUACCGGAUGAAGAAGCACCGGCUAACUCUGUGCCAGCAGCCGCGGUAAUACA
rnacentral:rRNA from 1 species